GAGCUAUCGAGAUGAAAAGCGAACGACUCUGCCAACGUGCACGCAUCUUGAACCCUAAGCCGAGUCCCUUGCUGUCCAACAACAACCGCUGCCACUUUUGAGGCCAACAUACCCAUCACUUUCAAGUCAGAAGCGCCCCUGACGAUACUAUAUAAGAUGCCCGAUGCAUAUGCAUCACCUGCCCCGCACGUAUCAACAGGUACACAUGGUGAUGGAGGGAUGUAGAUGGCUUCACCUUUUACGCCAAUGUAAGAGCCUCGGGGGCCAUCAGUGACAGAGACCAAAGGAACAAAAUGGCUUAAGUAUCUGGCAGCCGACAUGGGGCUUUCCUUCGAGGAGAAUUCACAGAAGGCUCUCGCUUCAUCGCUGUUGGCGAAAACUAUGUCUGCGUAGUUGCCAACUAUUUCCCAAAAAUGAUCAUAGCAUCUCUCAAUGCAUGAUACAUCCGAGGCAGUAACAGCAAUUAGUGAACCAUUUCUGUGAGCAUCUUCACAUGCUUUCAAGAUGGUUUGAGUUGUAUGAGG
rnacentral:misc_RNA from 1 species